rnacentral:rRNA from 1 species
ACGAACGCUGGCGGCGUGCUUAACACAUGCCAGUCGAACGGAAAGGCCCUGCUUUUGUGGGGUGCUCGAGUGGCGAACGGGUGAGUAACACGUGAGUAACCUGCCCUUGACUUUGGGAUAACUUCAGGAAACUGGGGCUAAUACCGGAUAGGAGCUCCUGCUGCAUGGUGGGGGUUGGAAAGUUUCGGCGGUUGGGGAUGGACUCGCGGCUUAUCAGCUUGUUGGUGGGGUAGUGGCUUACCAAGGCUUUGACGGGUAGCCGGCCUGAGAGGGUGACCGGCCACAUUGGGACUGAGAUACGGCCCAGACUCCUACAGGAGGCAGCAGUGGGGAAUAUUGCACAAUGGGCGGAAGCCUGAUGCAGCAACGCCGCGUGCGGGAUGACGGCCUUCGGGUUGUAAACCGCUUUCGCCUGUGACGAAGCGUGAGUGACGGUAAUGGGUAAAGAAGCACCGGCUAACUACGUG